GGAUUUAUAUCUACUCAGAACUUUAGUCAUUUUGUCUGAAACAUAUUAUGAAUAACUUAAUUCAAAAUACAACUUUCAACAACGGAUCUCUUGGCUCUCGCAUCGAUGAAGAACGCAGCGAAAUGCGAUACGUAAUGUGAAUUGCAGAAUUCAGUGAAUCAUCGAAUCUUUGAACGCAUAUUGCGCUCUCUGGUAUUCCGGAGAGCAUGCUUGUUUGAGUAUCAGUAAACACCUCAACUCUUUUUCUUCUUGAAAUGGAGCUGGACUUGAGUGAUCCCAACGCUUUAUUCAUAAAGUGGCGGGUUACUUGAAAUGCAGGUGCAGCUGGACUUUUCUCUGAGCUAUAAGCAUAUCUAUUUAGUCUGCCUCAAAACAGAUUAUUACCUUUGCUGCAGCUAACAUAAAGGAGAUUAGUUCUUGUGCUGACUGAUGCAGGAUUCACAAAGACCGCUUCGGCUGUCCUUUGUAAACUCGAUCUCAAAUCAAGUAAGACUACCCGCUGAACUUAAGCAUAUCAAUAAGGACCUGCGGAAGGAUCAUUCAUAAUCAAGUGUUUUUAUGGCACUUUAAAUCCAUAUCCACCUUGUGUGCAAUGUCAUCUCACUGGGGUCGCGUUUGUAAAAUCUCGUGAUCCGUUUGGGGAUUUAUAUCUACUCAGAACUUUAGUCAUUUUGUCUGAAACAUAUUAUGAAUAACUUAAUUCAAAAUACAACUUUCAACAACGGAUCUCUUGGCUCUCGCAUCGAUGAAGAACGCAGCGAAAUGCGAUACGUAAUGUGAAUUGCAGAAUUCAGUGAAUCAUCGAAUCUUUGAACGCAUAUUGCGCUCUCUGGUAUUCCGGAGAGCAUGCUUGUUUGAGUAUCAGUAAACACCUCAACUCUUUUUCUUCUUGAAAUGGAGCUGGACUUGAGUGAUCCCAACGCUUUAUUCAUAAAGUGGCGGGUUACUUGAAAUGCAGGUGCAGCUGGACUUUUCUCUGAGCUAUAAGCAUAUCUAUUUAGUCUGCCUCAAAACAGAUUAUUACCUUUGCUGCAGCUAACAUAAAGGAGAUUAGUUCUUGUGCUGACUGAUGCAGGAUUCACAAAGACCGCUUCGGCUGU
rnacentral:rRNA from 1 species